GUCUUCAGGGCAGGGUGAAAUUCCCGAUCGGCGGUAUAGUCCGCGAGCGCGAGAGCGCAUGAUUUGGUGCGAUUCCAAAACCGACAGUACAGUCUGGAUGAAAGAAGACG
rnacentral:ncRNA from 2 species